CUGGCCCUGAAUCAAGGCCAGCAGCUUCCUAAUGCUGUUGGUUUCAAGCAGGAGCCUAAAGAGAUGUUUUUCUAUGGUCUGUUGGCUGUUUCAGAACUUGGGGCAGUGAAAUGGUCAAUUCAUUAGAAAGAAGCAGCU
ensembl:snoRNA